AGCAACACGUCCAUCAACAGCAAACAUUUAAAAAUGAAAAUAAAUGGACUCAUACACUUCUACAAAACAAGAGAGAAGUUCUGUGUGACAUUAAAGUGGAGUGGAGGCAACAACUGACACGGAGUUUGCGUUAUAUCUGCUGGACAGCUUCUACACAUGCCAUGGAAGAAAUCCGACCUCUCCAGUGAGCGAGCGGCUCGACGGCCCAGCAGCUCUGCCUGCAUUUGAAUGUCAAAGAGCAUCUCGGAGCUGUCACGGCCCGCUGCCACACGGGAGGAACUUCCCUCUCAGUCCUCACCGUUACCCACAAGGCACCUGCACAGCACAGACGAUAACGGCCAACCGCCUGACAGAGGAAGAGUGGGAUGUUAGCAGAGCUUGGAAAGAGAAG